rnacentral:lncRNA from 1 species
UUUACUCUCUUUUUAGCUUUUUCCUUCAAGUUUGUUCAAAUAUCUAAUGCGUUGACCUUAUCAUACUGCAGGGGAUGGGUACACCCUCUUGUAGUCCGCAGGCCGAACUCCGUCCUUGGUGUGCUUUGCCGGACAAAUUUCCCGGGGUUUGUCACGUUGCCUGGUGAGGGUCAGGUUCCUACACUAGGAUUUUCCUGGGAGCACUACCAGG